UACGAAGGGUGCAAGCGUUACUCGGAAUUAUUGGGCGUAAAGAGCUUGUAGGCGGUUUGUCGCGUCUGCUGUGAAAAUCCGGGGCUCAACCCCGGACUUGCAGGUGGGUACGGGGCAGACUAGAGUGUGGUAGGGGAGACUGGAAUUCCUGGUGUAGCGGUGGAAUGCGCAGAUAUCAGGAGGAACACCGAUGGCGAAGGCAGGUCUCUGGGCCACUACUGACGUGAGAAGCGAAAGCAUGGGGAGCGAACAGGAUUAGACUACC
rnacentral:rRNA from 1 species